GGAAUUUUGCGCAAUGGGCGAAAGCCUGACGCAGCAACGCCGCGUGAGUGAUGAAGGCCUUCGGGUCGUAAACCACUGUCAGUGGGAAAGAAGGGUGUCGGCGUGAUAACCGUCGGCACCUGACGGUACCUGCAGAGGAAGCCCCGGCCAACUCUGUGCCAGCCGCCGCGGUAAGACAGAGGGGGCAAGCGUUGCUCGGAAUUACUGGGCGUAAAGGGCGCGUAGGCGGGAUGGCAAGUCGGUCGUGAAAUCCUUCGGCUCAACCGAAGAACGUCGAUCGAUACUGCUGUUCUAGAGGGUUGCAGAGGAGACUGGAAUUCCCGGUGUAGCGGUGAAAUGUGCAGAGAUCGGGAGGAACACCGGUGGCGAAGGCGGGUCUCUGGGCAACUCCUGACGCUGAGGCGCGAAAGCGUGGGGAGCAAAC
rnacentral:rRNA from 1 species